rnacentral:rRNA from 1 species
ACGGAAGGCAGCAGCUAAGAAUAUUCCGCAAUGGACGAAAGUCUGACGGAGCGACGCCGCGUGGAUGAUGAAGGUCGGAAGAUUGUAAAAUCCUUUUAUGACUGAGGAAUAAGUAAGGUGAGAGAAACGCCUUAUGGUGACUGUAGGUCAUGAAUAAGCAACGGCUAAUUACGUGCCGGCAGCCGCGGUAACACGUAAGUUGCGAGCGUUGUUCGGAAUUAUUGGGCGUAAAGGGCAUGUAGGCGGUUUUGCAAGCUUGGUGUGAAAUCUCGGAUCUCAACUCCGAAAUUGCGUUGAGAACUGCAUAACUAGAGUCACUGAGGGGCAAUCAGAAUUCCAGGUGUAGGGGUGAAAUCUGUAGAUAUCUGGAAGAAUACCAAUGGCGAAGGCAGGUUACCAGCAGAUGACUGACGCUGAGGUGCGAAGGUGCGGGGAGCAAACAGGAUUAGAUACCCUGGUA